CACACACACACACACACACACACACACACACACACACACACACACACUCACACACACACACACACAGGAAGGAUACCCCACUCUAUGACCCUUUUGGAGGCCUUCUAGGUAGGAUUGAGAAGUCCUACAGGAUGCUGGGAGAUGGGGCAAGGGGGGGAGGGUAAGUGCAUAUGGGUGUUGCAUCAAGUUACAUUAAUUGUUUUCCUAUAAGAUAACGUGUGUGUGUGUGUGUGUGUGUGUGUGUGUGUGUGUGUGUGUGUGUGAUUGGUUUCCUCUUAUCUUCCAUUCCGUUUAAUCCUCUUCCUCCUCUUCCAUUUCUUUCCUUCCUCCUCUUCCUCUAUUUUCUUCUUUUUUCCCUUCCUUCGUCUUAUUUUCCUUCCUCCUCUUCGUCUUUCUCACCUUCCUCCUCUUCAUUUUCCUCUUUUCCCGCUUCCUUUUCUUCCUCCUCUUCCUCUUUUUUCCCCUCCAUCCUCCUACUUCCUCUUCUUUCCUUCCUCCUCUUCCCCUUUUUUCCCUUCCUCUUAUUUUCUCCUCCUCUUCCUCUCUUUUUCCCCUCCAUCCACCUACUUCCUUUCCCUUUCCUUCAUCUACUCAAAAUUAUCCAUUCUCCUUCUCAUUCUUAACUAUUUUCCUCAUUUCUUCGUCAUCGCAUUCCUCCUCCUCCUCCUCUUCCUCCUCUUCCUCCUCCUUCUUUUCUAUUUAUUUCUCCUACCUCAUGUUCACCCACCUCCUCGUUCCACCUCUCUACAUUCCCUCUUUAUCAUCUCCUCUUCCUCCCCAUCUCCUCCCCCUCCUCGUCUCCCCUUCUUCCCCUCCAUCCCCUCGCUGGCGCCAAACUGAUGUAAACCCAACGUAUUGAUUUUAGGGGGGGGGCGAGGGGGGAGGGGAAAAGGGAGAAGGGGGAAACGUAGGUAGGUAGGUAAGGGAGGAGGGGAGAGGGGGAAUAGGAUAGGAAGAAAGGGAAGGAAGGACAAGUGGAGGAGAAGGCAGGAAGUGGAGAGGAGGGAAGGAAGGAUAAGUGGAGGAAGAGUAGGUGGAAGAGGGAGGGAAAUGAGGGCAAGGAAGGAUGGAGAGAGAGAGAGAAAGGAGAGAGAGAGAGACGAGGAAGGAUUGGAAAGGAUAUCAAGGAAAGAAAGGAGUGAAGGAAGGAAGGAAGAGAAGGAAAGGAAAUAGAAAGUGAAAGGAAGACUAAGAAGAGGAAGAGAAAUGACAGGAAUGAAAUAUAAGGAAAGGAAAGGAAGAGGAAGGAAAGAGAAAGAGAGGUAAAGGAAAGGGAAGGAAAGGAAACUAAAGGAAGAAGAAAGAAAUGAAAGCAAAAAUUACAGGAAGGGAAGGAAAUAUAAUGAAAGGAAGAGGAGGAAAACAAAGAAAAGGAAUAAAACGAGAAAAAGAUGAAAUAAAUAAAUGAAAAGGAAGAUGAAAUGAGAAAUAAAUGAAAAGUAAAAAAAAAAAGGAAAUUAAGGAAAGAGGAAGAAGAAAGAAAUGAAAAGAAAUUACAGGAAGGGAAAGAAAUAUAAUGAAAGGAAGAGGAGGAAAACAAAGAAAAGGAAUGAAACGAGAAAGAAAGAUGAAAUAAAUAAAAAUGGAAAAUGAGAUGAAAUGGAAGAAAAGAAAAAAAAAGGGGGGAGGAGGAGGAGGAGGAGGAGGACAUGAAAGGGUGCACUGAAAUAGGAGACGAGAAACCUAUCAGUGUGUGUGUGUGUGUGUGUGUGUGUGUGUGAUGGAUGAGCGUGCGUGGAGAGUGUGAUGAAUGGCAGAGGAGGUGAAGUGUGAUGGAUGAAGCGGGUAGAGUUAGGGAAGGGAUGAAGCCUGGAUGAUGUAGGGAGUGUACGGAGGCUGUCUUUGCUACUGUGUGAUAUAUAGAUAGAUAGAUAUGCAGAGGAAAUUAUGAUGAACUAGAUUGGAGGUAGAUAGAUAUGCAGAGGAAAUUAUGAUGAACUAGAUUGGAGGUAGAUAGAUAUGCAGAGGAAAUCAUGUUGAACUAGAUUGGAGGUAGAUAGAUAUGCAGAGGAAAUUAUGUUGAACUGGAUUGGAGGUAGAUAGAUAUGCAGAGGAAAUUAUGAUGAACUAGAUUGGAGGUAGAUAGAUAUGCAGAGGAAAUUAUGUUGAACUGGAUUGGAGGUAGAUAGAUAUGCAGAGGAAAUUAUGUUGAACUGGAUUGGAGGUAGAUAGAUAUGCAGAGGAAAUCAUGAUGAACUAGAUUGGAGGUAGAUAGAUAUGCAGAGGAAAUCAUGAUGAACUAGAUUGGAGGUAGAUAGAUAUGCAGAGGAAAUUAUGUUGAACUGGAUUGGAGGUAGAUAGAUAUGCAGAGGAAAUCAUGAUGAACUAGAUUGGAGGUAGAUAGAUAUGCAGAGGAAAUCAUGAUGAACUAGAUUGGAGGUAGAUAGAUAUGCAGAGGAAAUCAUGUUGAACUAGAUUGGAGGUAGAUAGAUAUGCAGAGGAAAUCAUGAUGAACUAGAUUGGAGGUAGAUAGAUAUGCAGAGGAAAUCAUGUUGAACUAGAUUGGAGGUAGAUAGAUAUGCAGAGGAAAUCAUGAUGAACUAGAUUGGAGGUAGAUAGAUAUGCAGAGGAAAUCAUGUUGAACUAGAUUGGAGGUAGAUAGAUAUGCAGAGGAAAUUAUGUUGAACUGGAUUGGAGGUAGAUAGAUAUGCAGAGGAAAUCAUGUUGAACUAGAUUGGAGGUAGAUAGAUAUGCAGAGGAAAUCAUGAUGAACUAGAUUGGAGGUAGAUAGAUAUGCAGAGGAAAUCAUGUUGAACUAGAUUGGAGGUAGAUAGAUAUGCAGAGGAAAUCAUGAUGAACUAGAUUGGAGGUAGAUAGAUAUGCAGAGGAAAUCAUGUUGAACUAGAUUGGAGGUAGAUAGAUAUGCAGAGGAAAUCAUGAUGAACUAGAUUGGAGGUAGAUAGAUAUGCAGAGGAAAUUAUGAUGAACUAGAUUGGAGGUAGAUAGAUAUGCAGAGGAAAUCAUGUUGAACUGGAUUGGAGGUAGAUAGAUAUGCAGAGGAAAUCAUGUUGAACUGGAUUGGAGGUAGAUAGAUAUGCAGAGGAAAUCAUGUUGAACUGGAUUGGAGGUAGAUAGAUAUGCAGAGGAAAUCAUGAUGAACUAGAUUGGAGGUAGAUAGAUAUGCAGAGGAAAUCAUGUUGAACUAGAUUGGAGGUAGAUAGAUAUGCAGAGGAAAUCAUGAUGAACUGGAUUGGAGGUAGAUAGAUAUGCAGAGGAAAUCAUGAUGAACUGGAUUGGAGGUAGAUAGAUAUGCAGAGGAAAUCAUGAUGAACUAGAUUGGAGGUAGAUAGAUAUGCAGAGGAAAUCAUGAUGAACUAGAUUGGAGGUAGAUAGAUAUGCAGAGGAAAUCAUGAUGAACUGGAUUGGAGGUAGAUAGAUAUGCAGAGGAAAUCAUGAUGAACUAGAUUGGAGGUAGAUAGAUAUGCAGAGGAAAUCAUGUUGAACUAGAUUGGAGGUAGAUAGAUAUGCAGAGGAAAUCAUGAUGAACUGGAUUGGAGGUAGAUAGAUAUGCAGAGGAAAUCAUGAUGAACUGGAUUGGAGGUAGAUAGAUAUGCAGAGGAAAUCAUGUUGAACUAGAUUGGAGGUAGAUAGAUAUGCAGAGGAAAUCAUGUUGAACUGGAUUGGAGGUAGAUAGAUAUGCAGAGGAAAUCAUGUUGAACUGGAUUGGAGGUAGAUAGAUAUGCAGAGGAAAUCAUGAUGAACUAGAUUGGAGGUAGAUAGAUAUGCAGAGGAAAUCAUAUUGAACUGGAUUGGAGGUAGAUAGAUAUGCAGAGGAAAUCAUGAUGAACUGGAUUGGAGGUAGAUAGAUAUGCAGAGGAAAUCAUGAUGAACUAGAUUGGAGGUAGAUAGAUAUGCAGAGGAAAUCAUGAUGAACUGGAUUGGAGGUAGAUAGAUAUGCAGAGGAAAUCAUGAUGAACUGGAUUGGAGGUAGAUAGAUAUGCAGAGGAAAUCAUGAUGAACUAGAUUGGUAUGGUUAAUUUCGAAGGGUGGGUGGGAAAGGGAGUGUAUGAAGGCUGUCGUAGUGAGAUAGAUAGAUAAAUAAAAAAGGUAUGUAGAGGAAUAUAUGUAGAACGAAAUGGCUGAAAAGAUAUGGGUAAGUUGAAACAGGAAGGGAUGAAAGCUAGAUAGAAGAACAGACAUACGUAGAUAGUUGCACUUUGGAGUUGAUGUGGAAGUAGAUAGAUAGAUCAGGUUGUUACAUAAAUGAACAGAAAUGUGGAUGGUCAGAGGAUUUUUUUUUUAUUAUUUUUU